AAUAAGCUUAGUUUUACACUGUUCAUGUCCAAUAUUUGACCAUUCAUCUUAUUAAAAAAAUUAUGAUUAAUACUUUUAUGGUUGUUAGAUGAUAAAACAAGAAUAUUACUUUAUGUGUGACUAAUUUUUUCAAUUUUUUCAUAAUUUUUUAAAUAAGACAGACAGUUAAACAUUGGACACAUUCCCACAACUGCACAUAUU
rfam:Oryza meridionalis cultivar OR44 (W2112) chromosome 9, whole genome shotgun sequence.